UACGUAGGGUGCGAGCGUUGUCCGGAAUUACUGGGCGUAAAGAGCUCGUAGGUGGUUUGUCGCGUUGUUCGUGAAAACUCACAGCUUAACUGUGGGCGUGCGGGCGAUACGGGCAGACUGGAGUACUGCAGGGGAGACUGGAAUUCCUGGUGUAGCGGUGAAAUGCGCAGAUAUCAGGAGGAACACCGGUGGCGAAGGCGGGAUCCUGGGCCAGUACUGACGCUGAGGAGCGAAAGCGUGGGGAGCAAACAGG
rnacentral:rRNA from 1 species